AGCUUGCUUUGAUUUGAUGAGAGUGGCGCACGGGUGCGUAACGCGUGAGCAACCUACCCAUAUCAGGGGGAUAGCCUCUCGAAAGAGAGAUUAACACCGCAUAACAUCAUUUACCGGCAUCGGAUUAUGAUCAAAUAUUUAUAGGAUAUGGAUGGGCUCGCGUGACAUUAGCUAGUUGGAGGGGUAACGGCCCACCAAGGCUACGAUGUCUAGGGGCUCUGAGAGGAGAAUCCCCCACACUGGUACUGAGACACGGACCAGACUCCUACGGGAGGCAGCAGUAAGGAAUAUUGGUCAAUGGAGGGAACUCUGAACCAGCCAUGCCGCGUGCAGGAUGACUGCCCUAUGGGUUGUAAACUGCUUUUGUCAGGGAAUAAACCUUUCCACGUGUGGGAAGCUGAAUGUACCUGAAGAAUAAGGAUCGGCUAACUCCGUGCCAGCAGCCGCGGUAAUACGGAGGAUCCAAGCGUUAUCCGGAUUUAUUGGGUUUAAAGGGUGCGUAGGCGGUCCUAUAAGUCAGUGGUGAAAGACGGCAGCUUAACUGUCGCAGUGCCUUUGAUACUGUAGGACUUGAAUCUAUUUGAAGUGGGCGGAAUAAGACAAGUAGCGGUGAAAUGCAUAGAUAUGUCUUAGAACUCCGAUUGCGAAGGCAGCUCACUAAGUUAGUAUUGACGCUGAUGCACGAAAGCGUGGGGAUCAUACAGGAUUAGAUACCCUGGUAGUCCACGCCCUAAACGAUGAUAACUCGAUGUUUGCGAUACACAGUAAGCGUCCAAGCGAAAGCGUUAAGUUAUCCACCUGGGGAGUACGGUCGCAAGAUUGAAACUCAAAGGAAUUGACGGGGGCCCGCACAAGCGGAGGAGCAUGUGGUUUAAUUCGAUGAUACGCGAGGAACCUUACCCGGGCUUGAAAGUUAGUGAAUGAUCCAGAGACGGAUCAGUCCUUCGGGACACGAAACUAGGUGCUGCAUGGCUGUCGUCAGCUCGUGCCGUGAGGUGUUGGGUUAAGUCCCGCAACGAGCGCAACCCCUAUGUUUAGUUGCCAGCACAUUAAGGUGGGGACUCUAAACAGACUGCCAGCGUAAGCUGUGAGGAAGGUGGGGACGACGUCAAGUCAUCAUGGCCCUUACGUCCGGGGCUACACACGUGCUACAAUGGAUGGUACAGCGGGCAGCUACAUAGCAAUAUGGUGCUAAUCUCUAAAAGCCAUUCACA
rnacentral:rRNA from 1 species